GUUGCUGCUGUUCAGCACUUCUGUAACUUAGACACACACAGAAAUGGGAACCCUUUGCAGCCAGUAGUGGAGCAUGAGUGUGGACCCUUCAGGCUUUGUCUGAUUUCUUCCUGUUUCUCCAACGUGUUGCUAAACCGUGGCAAUGGAAGAGCUCAUCUCUAGGCUGCCAAACCCGUGCUGCCUUCCAGGUAAAUGUCUGACUAUCACAGUAAUAGAAGGAUCCUUGAAGUGUUUUCCUUCACAUGCAUAGAAGGCCCUCAAGUACAAGGCACCAAAGAACCACACCCAAGAAGAUCUAAGGUCCUCGGGCUUCCACAACAGGAAUCUGUUUCAGCUGGGUCAGCAAGAUCUCAGUCAGCUUCAUUAGCUUCAGAAAUUUGUGCCCAGAGC
rnacentral:lncRNA from 1 species